GCCGUGGCUGUAGUCCCAGCUACUCGGAGGCUGAGGCUGGAGGAUUGCUUGAGUCCAGGAGUUCUGGGCUGUAGUGUGCUAUGCUGAUCGGGUGUCCGCACUAAGUUCGGCAUCAAUAUGGUGACCUCCCAGAAGCGGGAGACCACCAGGUUGCCUAAGGAGGGGUGAACUGGCCCAGGUCGGAAACGGAGCAGGUCAAAACUCCCAUCAUGAUCAGUAGUGGGAUCGCUCCUGUGAAUAGCCACUGCACUCCAGCCUGGGCAACAUAGCGAGACCCCCAUCU
rnacentral:SRP_RNA from 1 species